ensembl:lncRNA
CCCUGUGUGUGUGUGUGUGCAUCUGUAAGCAAGAGAGCGGGAGAAAGAGAGUAUGUGCUUUCUGUUCAUAAUAAAACAUAAUUUUGUGGCAAAACAUGGAAAUGAUCUGUUGUUUUUAUGCUAUUGUUUACUGUGCUUAUUUGUUUGGCCAUUGUCAUUGUGGGCUUUGGUUAUUGCUGCUGUAAGACCUUUGAAAUAACUGAAAUCAUUUGGCGAAGUGAUAUGGACAUGUAAUGUGAUCAAGAGCUGCCAGGAACUACAUUCGCGGUGAGUUUCCCUGAAAAUAAUUGUACACCUUUGAAUGUUCAUCAGCCUAUCAGAUUCAGACAUGCAUAGUAUAAAUUUGUAUUAUGGUGGUGAAUGUGUUAGUCCUAAAAAAGCAAGAUCAUAUAGAAUCAUCUAUAGUGAAUGAGUACAGUAAUAUGAACACUUCAAAGCUUGUUCAUACAGAAACGCAUAUAAAGACAUACGUAAUGAUCUCAUUUUAUCAUCUGUGUUCAUAUGAGUCAUAUCAGUGUCACCUACAUGUCAGUUUGUAUUUAUCAUAUUUGCACUACUCACAGCACAUGUAUCCAUGUACUGUAGUAAUGACCAUUUCUGUAUAAUCCAGUGAAAGAUAUAAAGCUAAGUUUAUAUAUGGAAGUGUCUUCCUCUCAUUUCUUUUUUUAUUUGGAACACAAACCAAAAUACCAGAGAUCAUACCAAAUGAAUAACAAGGCUGAAAACAGCUUUAUAUUAUGAAACACUUAAAUUACAAAUAAAAAUGUUAGAAAUCUGAUUGGAUGAGCCGAUAUACUAGCAACCUAAUCACAAAUCAGUUGAACUCUUUUUUUUUUCUGCCUUUUUUACCCUACCUGUGAGAAACGAUGGGCGGGGCUAAACAGGCAGUGACAUGGAAUCUGUGGGUGGGGCUAAACAGGCAGUGAUGUAUAAUCUGUGGGCGGGGCUAAACAGGCAGCAAUGUAGAAGCAGGCAUUGAUCUUCUUUUGUGGAGGCGGUGCUUAUCCACACUAUUACGUCAUAGACUCAUACAUUCCACAAGCUGUCAUUACGGCAGACUGGCUUCAAUAUAAGCUGUUUUUAGACUAAUGAGAAAGUUAAGUUCUGAAAACUACAGGAUGUUUUAUAGUACAAUGACCUCUUAUAUGUCAAAAGAUCAAGGAAAUUUUGGUUUUUU